AGUGAACGCUGGCGGUAGGCCUAACACAUGCAAGUCGAACGGCAGCACAGUAAGAGCUUGCUCUUACGGGUGGCGAGUGGCGGACGGGUGAGGAAUACAUCGGAAUCUACUUUUUCGUGGGGGAUAACGUAGGUAAACUUACUCUAAUACCGCAUACGACCUACCGGUGAAAGCAGGGGAUCUUCUGACCUUGCGCGAUUGGAUGAGCCGAUGUCGGAUUAGCUAGUUGGCGGGGUAAAGGCCCACCAAGGCGACGAUCCGUAGCUGGUCUGAGAGGAUGAUCAGCGACACUGGAACUGAGACACGGUCCAGACUCCUACGGGAGGCAGCAGUGGGGAAUAUUGGACAAUGGGCGCAAGCCUGAUCCAGCCAUACCGCGUGGGUGAAGAAGGCCUUCGGGUUGUAAAGCCCUUUUGUUGGGAAAGAAAAGCAGCAGGUUAAUACCCCGCUGUUCUGACGGUACCCAAAGAAUAAGCACCGGCUAACUUCGUG
rnacentral:rRNA from 1 species